rnacentral:misc_RNA from 1 species
GAUGAAGAACGUAGCGAAAUGCGAUACUUGGUGUGAAUUGCAGAAUCCCGUGAACCAUCGAGUCUUUGAACGCAAGUUGCGCCCGAAGCCAUUAGGCCGAGGGCACGCCUGCCUGGGCGUCACACGUCGUUGCCCCCCCAUCUACUCCUUCGGGAUUGCGGGGGGCGGAUGAUGGCCUCUCGUGCGCCUCGUCGCGCGGUUGGCCUAAAUGCCAAGUCCUCGGCGACGCACGCCACGACAAUCGGUGGUUGCGAAACCUCGGUUGCCUGUCGUGUGCGGUCGUCGCGCAUCGAGGGCUCGAAAAAAUUGCCGGGCUUCGGCUCGACUUUCAACGCGACCCCAGGUCAGGCGGGUUACCCGCUGAAUUUAAGCAUAUCAAUAAGCGGAGGA